GUGGUGAAAUUGGUAGACACGCACGGUUCAGGUCCGUGUGCCUAUUACUGGCAUGGGGGUUCGAGUCCCUUCCUGGGCACCA
rnacentral:tRNA from 1 species